AAAAGAUUAGUUAAUAUAUAACCUAAGGUUGUCGACUUUAAGUAACUAGUAUAAUAUAGUAUCUUUUA
rnacentral:tRNA from 1 species